rnacentral:rRNA from 1 species
UUUCUGUAAGAAUUAGCCCCGGCUAAUUCCGUGCCAGCCACCGCGGUAAUUCGGAGGUGCAGCGUUAUCCGGUUUUAUUGGGUUUAAAGGGUGCGUAGGCGGCUUAUUAAGUCAGUUGUGAAAUCCUAGUGCUUAACGCUAGAACUGCAAUUGAUACUAUUAGGCUUGAGUUAAGAAUAGGUAAGUAGAAUUUAUGGUGUAGUAGUGAAAUGCUUAGAUAUCAUAAGGAAUACCAAUAGCGUAGGCAGCUUACUGGUCUUUAACUGACGCUGAGGCACGAAAGCGUGGGGAGCAAACAGGAUUAGAUACCCUGGUAGUCCACGCCGUAAACGAUGAUCACUCGGUAUACAU